rnacentral:misc_RNA from 1 species
CACCCAUCCACUUGCGUGGCAAGGCGAGGCAACAGCCGGGCCGGUUGUCGCAAUUGAGCGGGCCUAGCUCGUCCUACUAGUAUGAGGAUCGGCACAGUAUGUUGCGUAAUCCUACCACUAACUGUGGAGAGGUAGAGGCAACACAUGUUCCGGUUGUUCUCAAAUUCGGAGAGCAUUAUUAGGGUCAGGUCGAGGCAACCAAAAGGGCCACGAGCCUUUAUCAUGAGCAACAUCCGAAACCAACAGCGGGAGCGAGGCUGCCUUGAUAGCACCAGGCACGAAACAUGCCAGCACCAAGAGGCAACGCCGCAAGCGCCAUAUGGCCGCAGCAGCACACCCAAAGGCGUCCACCGCGAGGCAACUGUGUAUGAAGCACCAAUACCCGUAGGUCGGGUAACAUCACGCAAGCACUUGAAAGGCAACAGUAAGAUAGCUCACACGAAUGAAAAGACACGGCGCCGGUAGUCGGCCGCACGAAGACGGGGGACCUACCGGCAGACACGGGUCCAAAACA